GGGGCAGCGGUGGAGCAUGUGGUUUAUUCGAUGCACGCGAAGAACCUUACCUGGUCUUGACAUCCACAGAACUUUCCAGAGAUGGAUUGGUGCCUUCGGGAACUGUGAGACAGGUGCUGCAUGGCUGUCGUCAGCUCGUGUUGUGAAAUGUUGGGUUAAGUCCCGCAACGAGCGCAACCCUUAUCCUUUGUUGCCAGCGGUUAGGCCGGGAACUCAAAGGAGACUGCCAGUGAUAAACUGGAGGAAGGUGGGGAUGACGUCAAGUCAUCAUGGCCCUUACGACCAGGGCUACACACGUGCUACAAUGGCGCAUACAAAGAGAAGCAAUCUCGCGAGAGCUAGCGGACCUCAUAAAGUGCGUCGUAGUCCGGAUUGGAGUCUGCAACUCGACUCCAUGAAGUCGGAAUCGCUAGUAAUCGUGAAUCAGAAUGUCACGGUGAAUACGUUCCCGGGCCUGGGGAUCCCGA
rnacentral:rRNA from 1 species